rnacentral:misc_RNA from 1 species
AAAGUCGUAACAAGGUUUCCGUAGGUGAACCUGCGGAAGGAUCAUUAUCAUAACGUAUCCACGUAUAAACCAAUUUCUUUUAUAGAAUGUGAAUUGUAAUGUUUUACAGCCUUUGAUGAUUAAUGAUUGCUAUUUAAUUUGUCUCCCUUUGAUUAAGGAUGAAUUAGAUGGACUUGGCUUGGGUGGUAACACCCUUUCCUAGCAUUAAUUAUCGAAGUGUAUACACCUUUAAUCAUAUUAACCAAUUGAACCGAUUAACUUAAUUGUUAUUCAUUCUUUUAUCUGUGAACUGAAUUGUUUCUUACUUGGCUUUGGGGUAACACUCGAACUGAGAAGAAAUUAUAUUUACGAAACAUAAAUUAUGAACAACUCUUAGCAACGGAUAUCUUGGUUCUC